UACGUAGGUGGCAAGCGUUGUCCGGAAUUAUUGGGCGUAAAGCGCGCGCAGGCGGUCUCUUAAGUCUGAUGUGAAAUCUCGCGGCUCAACCGUGAGCGGUCAUUGGAAACUGGGAGACUUGAGUGCAGAAGAGAAGAGCGGAAUUCCACGUGUAGCGGUGAAAUGCGUAGAGAUGUGGAGGAACACCAGUGGCGAAGGCGGCUCUUUGGUCUGUAACUGACGCUGAGGCGCGAAAGCUAGGGGAGCGAACGGG
rnacentral:rRNA from 1 species